CCUGAUCCAGCCAUGCCGCGUGAGUGAUGAAGGCCUUCGGGUUGUAAAGCUCUUUUGGCGGGGACGAUGAUGACGGUACCCGCAGAAUAAGCCCCGGCUAACUUCGUGCCAGCAGCCGCGGUAAGACGAAGGGGGCUAGCGUUGUUCGGAAUUACUGGGCGUAAAGCGAGUGUAGGUGGUUAUCCAAGUUGGAUGUGAAAGCCUUGAGCUCAACUCAGGAAAUGCAUUCAGGACUGGAUGACUAAAGGACCGGAGAGGAUAGUGGAAUUCCCAGUGUAGUGGUGAAAUACGUAUAGAUUGGGAAGAACACCAGUGGCGAAGGCGGCUAUCUGGACGGUUUCUGACACUAACACUCGAAAGCGUGGGGAGCAAACAGGAUUAAAUACCCUGGUAGUCCACGCCGUAAACGAUGGGUGCUAGACGUUGGCGAGCUUGCUCGUCAGUGUCGCAGCUAACGCGUUAAGCACCCCGCCUGGGGAGUACGGCCGCAAGGUUGAAACUCAAAGGAAUUGACGGGGGCCCGCACAAGCGGUGGAGCAUGUGGUUCAAUUCGACGCAACGCGCAAAACCUUACCAGCCCUUGACAUGUGACUCGCCGGCUCCAGAGACGGAGCCUUCGGUUCGGCCGGAGUC
rnacentral:rRNA from 1 species